GGAGAGACACACAGAUAGGAGAGAAGUGAGACAGGUAGGAGAGACACACAGAUAGGAGAGAAGUGAGACAGGUAGGAGAGAGGAGAGACAGGUCGGAGAGACACACAGGUAGGAGAGACGUGAGACAGGUAGGAGAGACACACAGAUAGGAGAGACGUGAGACGGGUAGAAGAAAGGAGACGGGUAGAAGAGAGGAGAGACGGGUAGAAGAGAGGAGAGACGGGUAGAAGAGAGGAGAG